CAGCCGCCGCGGUAAUACGGAGGGUGCAAGCGUUAAUCGGAAUUACUGGGCGUAAAGCGCACGCAGGCGGUUUGUUAAGUCAGAUGUGAAAUCCCCGGGCUCAACCUGGGAACUGCAUUUGAAACUGGCAAGCUAGAGUCUCGUAGAGGGGGGUAGAAUUCCAGGUGUAGCGGUGAAAUGCGUAGAGAUCUGGAGGAAUACCGGUGGCGAAGGCGGCCCCCUGGACGAAGACUGACGCUCAGGUGCGAAAGCGUGGGGAGCAAACAGGAUUAGAUACCCGAGUAGUCCCUGUCUCUUAUAC
rnacentral:rRNA from 1 species